UUUUUUUUUUUUUUUUAAAGGGAAAGAGCUCAUUAAAUCCUAGUCAGUCAUUUGUCGAAAUGGGUAGAGAAAUUGGCAAUUAAAUGAUGACAUUUUUACCUCACAUUGUAUCUGAAGACUUGUAGAAUUCUUAGGUUUUAAAUUCUAUCCUGCAGUUGCUUUGGAUGAUUUACUCAUACGUACCAUCUUUAAAACAAAAAUGAAACCACUCUUGCAAGUCCCCAAAUGCUAAAACGCAGAGGGGAGACCUUGUGUUCUGAUAGAGCGCUACCUUUUCUGAUUUAUAUCUCACCUGGACACAAGGUAAUUGAUGUGAAAGGCCAGAAUAUUAAAAAUAAUACUUUAUGAUUCAUAAAGAUUAAAACUGAAAUUAACUUGCUUUACAAAGUUAGAGUUUGGAGUAGAUUUUCAUGCUGUAAUAAAUAGUUGAGGUUUUACCUUUAUUUUAUUUUUUUCAGAAGAUAUGGCAUAGGCAGGGAAGGUCUUGCCUACAAAGGAAUCCAUUGUAAACUGCCUAUAUCAUCUUCUAUUUAGAGAUUCCUUAGGGGAAAGCACUACAGUGGCUUUGGUUUUGAUCUACGUAAAGGAAGUAUGACUUACAGAGUGCUUGGUUUCAAACUACUUGUCUUGAGCAGAGGAGUGGAUUAAAAAAGAAAGAGAUGAAUUUGCUACUUCCUGUUAGAGCCUGAUUUUACUCUCUCAGAUAAAGUGACAUUUCUCCCACAAGCUUCUGGUUUCGGUGUUACUAUAGAAGAACCUAGAAGUUAGUGUGUGGUCUCCUUUAGUGCAAAAGGGGAAUCACCUUCUCUUUUAUUUAAUCAUGAAACCAGCUAGAUGUAAAAUUGUGAUUAAGUUCAAAAGAAGUGUAUCACAAGUUAAAAAUUCCCCAAUGAAUAUAUUUUGAGAGGGCAGAAUAUCGUGGUUUGGAAAUUUCCAAACCAAGGAAAUUUGUCAUUCUUACUGAGAGUACCUUUUUUCUUUAACUCGGCUGUUUUCUGAGAUGAAUUCAUUUAAUGAUGAAGAGCUCUGAAGUGAAUGAUGUCAAUGCAGGAUUUUAGUUUAUUUUUACAGACUUUCGGUCAAUAAAGAUUGUCAAAAUAAGGACUUUUUUCUCCCUCCACAGUCUUGGACACAGGAAAUGCUUGGUUAUGUUAGUUCCUCCAGCCCUAUAACUUAACCUUCUCUUAAAGAGCUUUUUUCUAAUUCGUAUUUAAGGUGAAUGGCUUGCAUACUGUUCUACUCAUAAAUUUUACUCCUGUUUUUUAAAGGUGACAUCUGAGCACAGGUAUUAAGAGAAAUACAUUUAAUAUAAUAAUUUUUUUUCUCUCAUCUUUUCACAAUUGCCUGAUUAGAGUGCUCAGAAAAAUGACAGUGUUUUUCAUAAUGUGCUCUAUUUUAUUAAAAACUCUAACAGCCGUUUUUUAAUUAUUAUUGGCUCAAACACAAAAGAUGUACUGAAAUAAAAACAUCAUAUAGGUCCCCUUUUGUUCUCAAUGCUCAGAAACCAUGGUACUAUGUUAUCUAGACAAACUUCUCGGGCCUGAUUCCUCAGGUUCUCCUAAAAUGGCACAAAAUGAGCAGUUUGUCUAAAUACAGUACACAAUCUUAAAUCUCAUUAAAAAUAUAAUGAGAGAUGAAAAACAAAAACCCCAGCAAACAGAAUAAAGGCAAAAUUAUUGCAGAAUAGCAUUUUAAAAAGUAGAGUCAGACGUUUAGACAUUAGAAGGGCCCACCAGUGUUGAAGCUGUGCUCCCCUUUUGAUGUUUUGGCCUGGGUUUGCAAAGAGGACCCCAGCUAACCAAUGACAACUGCUCUGUGAGUGGAAAUCCAUGAUCACAGACAACAAAAGCUAGUCUAUUAGCCAAGGCAUUGGGCACAGAGUGAUGUCACGAGGUAAUAAAAAAGUGGCUUCUUCUGGAAUCUGUACAGCCAGCCAGCUAGUAAUGUGGUAGGAGAAGAAUUAUACAAAGUUACAGACCCAGCAAUCAACAGCUACAGCUGCCAACCACUUCCUAAAACUAGCAAGCAUCAUGUGUAGUGUACAGCAGUGCAGAAAAAUGGAUAUGGGUUAUUCAAUACAAAUUAGAGUGAGGGUGUUCUUGACUUUGGCAGUUCUGAAAGACAUACUUCAAGCCCUCUCGCUCCAUAGUACUUUUAGGCCCACAGCAUGAAGUAGCUAUUGUGAAUGUAAACUUGACUGUAGCACAGUUCUUUUCAGUAGCCGAAGAUAGGUUCCAAGUUAAAUGUAGUUCUUAACAAUUUAGUUCUCAGGAAUUGGGGGUCAAAACCAUUCCUUCUUACUGUGAAUAAAAAUCUACCCAAAUGAAGAACUAGAUAUACUAGUAAAUAACAAUAGAUUCCUUUCCUUACAUGGCAGACCUAGUCUUCCUCAGAUAGAACUAAGCCGAAGGCAGCACUCUGGGGAAAAUCUCCUUAAAUUAUGCUUUUCUGAAGGAUAAUUUUUUUAGAGAGGGGACCAUAUGAUUUGAAUAUACCCUUUUACCUUACUGAUUUGCCAGGAAAGAUGUUAUCAGUAAAAUAUGUGUUAAGUUUGUCACUAAGGAUCUCUUCACACAUGAGUCAUAAGUUAGAUCCUUCCACAAUUAUAUAUAUAUAUUUUUUUUCUUAUUUUGCUGCUUAUUUUCAGCACCAGCCACUCAUUUGCAUACCAAAAGAACUGCAUGCUAUAACGUUUUCUUUAAAAAGAAAAGAGUCACAGUGGUUGACCCUUAUAACCAAGCCAUGGUGAGAGAGCCUUGACUUUAUUCACCUUGACUUUAUUCACCAAAGGUACAAAUAUUUGGAAACUAUUAAUUUGUUGCUAAGAAGUGAAUAUACACUUAUUUCUACUGAAAGGCAUGAUCCUAUGUUGAUGAAGCCAGGUACAUUCUAGCUCCAAAGCCAUUUUAAUAGAUGAAAAGGAAGGUAACUAUGCUUUUGAAAAUUAAAAUGAUUAAGUUUAGGUGGCUCCCUUUAACUAUUUCCCCAUGUUUAUUUACAUUGUUUGUGUACCAGUAAAAAACAUAAUCCUUAAAAUGGAAUUCAAUGCGAAUUUCUAUUUGGAUCCAUUCACUAGCAUCUAAAUUGCAUAAGAAAACAGUGUUGGGCUUUCCCAUCAGAACUUAGCUCUAAUUCCCUAAAUUCUGAAGUUGGCUGUUUUGAUUGAGGUCCUAAAACCAAGCAGGGAAGAUGAAAGAAGGCCUGUAAAAAUCAAGAUCCUGAGAAAGUUUCUGCUUAUUGUUCAUCUUGGGAAAUUGUACCUCUGUCUUAGUGCUUCCCUUCCCUUCUACUUAGUCUGAAUUUCUUACCGUUAGAACCAUCUCCUUCAGGUGGGAGAACCAAGGUAGCAGGCAAGGCUUCAGGUGAACCGUCUCGGAAAUGCGAAUCAGUUAUUUGGAGACGGUGGGGUGGCGGCCGCCCCUCCAACUGCUUGGACUUGUUUAUUAUGUUCAUUUGGCUAGUUAUCUUUGAAAGGAGAGAUCUAGAAUAGAGGAGGGAGGAUGGGGUGGGUAAGUUUUAAUGGGGAUAAGGAGUGAUUUAGAGGAAGGAUGAGGGUACACCCCAAAUCUUCUGAGAACUCAUCCUUUUCACAUCCAGCCUAAAACAGCUACAAAUUAAGAAUUUAAAACAGUAUCGCUUGAGUUUGAGUUUAGUCCUCUGUGUUUCAACUUGUAUGUGAUAUAAAACCACAUGUAAAAUGUUUAAUUUUCUCAGGAAUUUCUCAUAAAGACCUUCAACAUUCUGUGGUAGAAAGAUAUAAUUCAAAUGACUGGUUUUCUAAAGGGUGUUUAUUUGUGGUUUGUUUUUUUUUUUUUAAAUCACAUUUUCUGUAGAAUAUGAUUAUUCUGUGUUACACGUCAGUAACUGAUUUUAGAGUUAAGUCAACUUGUGUGCUAUAAAGAAAUGGGGCAAAGAAGAUUUAUCUUCUUUUUGAAUCCACAUGAGUUCCAUCAUUAAAGAGGGACUGCCAGUGUGACCUGCUACUGAUUAAGAUGGUAACUAACUGGGAUGACAAAAGCACACAAAUGGCUAUCUCCUAAAAAUAAGAUGAACUGUUCUGUAGAAAUAACCCAUAUCCUGACCUCUUGAUGAAUGAUAAAAUUACCUUUCAUAUCAUUAACCUUUCAUAUCAUUAACUUUACAUUUAAGGGAAGUUCCAUGAAUAAAGCCAUUGCUGAGGAAAAAAAUUAUAAACUCCCUAUGUUAUGAUAUUUCAUUUACUUCCAUAAAAAUCUAACAAAACACCCCUCUUCUUAGUAGUUGAAGGAAUUCUUUAAUGAAAACACCUACUUUGUCUAAAUUAAGAGUUCCUUAUUGAAAAGACUGGUUUGCACAUGAAACAGCUUUAACAGACAAUACUUUUCUGCAUUUUGAGUGUUUUUAAAGAUAUAUACCGAUAAUGAUAUUGACACAGAAAACUAGGUAUGACUUAUUUUUGAACUUUCUCAGAAGAAAACCAAUGUGCAUACACAGGCUCACUAUGGAGACAUUGCGUUGAGUGACCGUUUAAUCGUGAAUGGGCAAACGAGAAAGCAUACUGGCUUUGGAGAAUUAUUCUGCUUUCCCUAAUUUGAAAACCAGGAAGUUUUUUACUUAAGCUCCUUUGGAACUUAUUUACAAGAGAAGUAACCGUCCCACCAGUUCUGUUAGGGACAGUGAUUAAUACCUUCACUUUUCAGAUAAGGCUGUGGAAAAAAAAACAGGUUAGAAAUAUCCCCCCCCACACACACCCCUGAAUCAUUCUGUAGAGUAAGCAGAAGUAGGUGGAGAGCCAGCCCCAGUCCAGUUCCCCCUCUUGGACCCAGGCAUCACAGAGGGGGACUUCCUCUGCACCCUGACUUUACACUGGCGCAGCCGCAGGCCUGAAACUCCAGGAAAAUGUUUUUGAACUAACACGGAUAAAACAAGUGUUGGGAAGGAGAGCACUUGGGGGAGAUGCAUUCUGUUGCUUUAAAUCAUGGCCAUUCAUUCUUCUUUCACAUUUACACAAAAGGUUUUCCACCUACCUGACGAUUAAACUUUAAAGUAUCACAUGUCCAGAAGAGAAUUUUUGUGAUAGUUUUCUCUUUUUCAUUUAUAAUUUAUUUUCAAUCUCUUUUCUCUCUGCUCCCCGCACUCUGCCCCACAGGAAAAAGGGAAAGUGGUGGCAGUUAUCAGCUCUGAGUGUUUGCCAUCCUUUAAGGGUUGCCUCUUCUAGGAGGCCCCCUCUGUGAGUUCACAGUGCUUAUUCUCCACACUGAAUUUUAAUAAAAUGCCUCCUUUGGAACUUAUUAUGUGUAAGCUAUUUGUUAGUUACAUGUAUAGGGUCCCUUAUGUCUGGCAUUACAGGAAAAAUCAGCCUUUCUAUUUCCAAAAGCCACAGUUCAUAAAUUUCUAUUUCGACAAUGCCAGCAUGGCAAGGAAAAUUUUGUGCACCGAGAAUGAUGUGAGACAAACUGAGAAAGUUCUGGAAACAGUUUGGUUUUGCCUGUUUAAAAAUUGGUUUUCUUAAGAUGCCUCAUGUAUAGGCUCCCCUGUUAGAAGGCAAACACCAUCCCAUUUCCCUCUUACACCCCACAGCAUUGUACUCAGAUGAGGGUCGUGUCUGUGGCUCCACACAAAGUCAUCUCUAGACAUAAUCUCAAACACACUCUUAGGCUUCAGAGAGACCUACUGCAAAUAGCUCCUAAAACACAGUUGUGUCCACUUUGCCUUCUUUUUCCCUGGCAGAGAACAAACUGCUCGAGGCUGGGUUCGCUUUGUCUUCUGAUGUGACCCUUCCCACUGUCACCCCCAAGGUGGUCAACCAGUCCUUUCUCCAUGCUCUGCGGGAGCACUCCUCACACUGCACUGGGGUUGUCUCCUUGGUUAGUGCUGAGGUGUGCUUGAGGGCAGGGACUAGGUCUCCCCUCUAUACCUGACACAUGGCUCACCCUCGGUAAACCCUUGAGACCCUCCAAAGGCAUCCCUGUCUGCACAGCUGGCUUGGCUUUGGCAUUAGCGCAUUUCAGUAAAAUUUAACUAAUAUGCAGAUUCUUGGAGAGGUAGUGCAGUAAGAGCUUAUAAAUGUGUAAAUAGAUCAAUGAGCUUUGUUGGUUUUCCAGAUCGGUAAUGGGCCGUUAACAUUCAGAGCAUUCUAGGCUUGGAUCUCAGUCCACCAGGUAUAAUCAUUGUGGGAUAAAGCUGGAGAAUUCCAUCUCAUAUAAUCAUCUGAAGUUAUGGAUAAAAAGUAGCUUCCAUUCCUGUUUUCUUUUUCUUUUUCUUUUUGAACCAGAGAGGGAUGGCAUAAUCAUGGGUGUUCAUUGUGUAGGAGCAUGUUCUUAGUCUUAGGAAAUAUAUGCCAAAGAAUUUAGAGGUAAGAGGCCAGGUCUGCUUAUAGAUACAGACAGAGAGAGAGAGAGAGAGAGAUGGAUAGGGACAGAGAGCAAUAAAGCAAAUGUGGCAGAGGGUAACAGUGACUGAAUCUAAGAGAAAAGUCUGGGGUGUUAUCGCUCAGUUGUUUUCAGCCAGCCUGGGUUCCAUUCCUGACCUCAGCCACGCUACAGGCUGUGUGGUACUUGGUCAUUUAAUUGACCUCAUUAAGUUUUAAUUGCUUCCCUAAGAAUGGACAUAAUGAUGGAGCCUACGCAAAAGGUCGCUGUGAAGAUGAAGUGACCCAGCGAAUGUCAAGCAUUUGCUGGGUACCAGGCUCAUAACCAUGAUGGAUCUGAGCCAUGGUGCUAAUGACAUCAGUCAUGAAUACUUGCUGAGUGCCUGUCCCUGUACUUCUACUCCAUGUUGCACUUGUUUUAAAAGUUUAAGACAAGGUCCCUUCUCUACUGUAUGACUGAAUCAUUAUAUAAAUUAGAGGUUAUGAAAAAACCUGGAUAAGCCAAAUAAUCCUCUGGGAUCCUAAUCUCUAAGUCAUAAGUAACUGCUAAAAGGUAUACCACAAUGGAACUAAUUUUCUAAAGUGUUUUAUUGGUUUUUCUUUGGGCUCAGGAGAAAAAUGCAUUCUGAGACUGUUAAAAGCUCUUUAAAAUCAAACAACGGUUUACCUUGUUAAGAAUUUUGAGACCACUUUGUACGUAUAAACUUUACUUUCUCAGACUGAUUUUUGUGUCUCACUUUCCAAACUGGGUUCCUGAAAUAUACAAGAUCAUAAAUGUAUUCAUAACAAUAGCAAACACUCACACAGGGCACCCUCCUGGCCACACACCAGUUUUACUUCUCCAUGUUCGCCAACUGGCGUAUUCCUCUUAAAAUCUUUUGCAGGGCGUAUUAUCCUCCUGCUCAUUCACACCUGGGGACAUGGAGGUGCAGGCAGGUGAAAUCAUCUGCCCAAGCUUGAAAUGCUGACCAACCCCGGCAACCUGGCACCAGCAUCCAUGCUCUGAACCAUGAUACUGGCCUGACUGUGCGCAGCCACAUAAAAGAGCACUGCAUUUUGUUAAGACGGCCAGGAAUUUAUACUGUUUCAGAAUUAGCACAGAUAUUCACAGUCUGUCUUGUACCCUGCCACCUGACCGAGGUUAAGCCUCAUUCUCUGGCUAAUGUGUCAUUUUGCAUAAGGCUGGGAACUGUGCCUUUUGGUUCAAAGUGUUUUCCACAUUGAUGUGAGUCUUGGAGUUGUGAGUGAGGCUGCGGAGCAGUGAACAAAUUAAAAAUGCUGCAUUUCCAGGAGUUCCUGCUUUGGCGCAGUAGGUUAAAAAUCUGACUGCAGCAGUUCUGGAGGUGUUCCAUCCCCAGCCUGGAGCAGUGGGUUAAGGAUCUGGUGUUGCUGCAGCUAUGGUGUAGAUUGCAGCUGCAGCUCAAAUUUGAUCCCAGGCCUGAGAACUUCCAUAUGCAAUAGGGGCGGCCACAGAAAAAAACAAACAAAAAAAAACAAAAAA
rnacentral:lncRNA from 1 species